ensembl:lncRNA
AGGGGGUACCGGUACAGAGUCAAUGUGGAGGCUAUAUACAGGGGGUACCGGUACAGAGUCAAUGUGGAGGCUAUAUACAGGGGGUACCGGUACAGAGUCAAUGUGGAGGCUAUAUACAGGGGUACCAGUACAGAGUCAAUGUGGAGGCUAUAUACAGGGUGUUACGGUACAGAGUCAAUGUGGAGGCUAUAUACAGGGGUACCGGUACAGAGUCUAUGUGGAGGCUAUAUACAGGGUGUUACGGUACAGAGUCAAUGUGGAGGCUAUAUACAGGGGUACCGGUACAGAGUCUAUGUGGAGGCUAUAUACAGGGUGUUACGGUACAGAGUCAAUGUGGAGGCUAUAUACAGGGGGUACCGGUACAGAGUCAAUGUGGAGGCUAUAUACAGGGUGUUACGGUACAGAGUCAAUGUGGAGACUAUAUACAGGGUGUUACGGUACAGAGUCAAUGUGGAGGCUAUAUACAGGGGGUACUGGUACAGAGUCAAUGUGGAGGCUAUAUACAGGGGGUACUGGUACAGAGUCAGUGUGGAGGCUAUAUACAGGGGUACCGGUACAGAGUCAAUGUGGAGGCUAUAUACAGGGGGUACCGGUACAGAGUCAGUGUGGAGGCUAUAUACAGGGGUACCGGUACAGAGUCAAUGUGGAGGCUAUAUACAGGGGUACCGGUACAGAGUCAAUGUGGAGGCUAUAUACAGGGGUACCGGUACAGAGUCAAUGUGGAGGCUAUAUACAGGGUAUUACGGUACAGAGUCAAUGUGGAGGCUAUAUACAGGGGGUACCGGUACAGAGUCAAUGUGGAGGCUAUAUACAGGGGGUACCAGUACAGAGUCAAUGUGGAGGCUAUAUACAGGGUAUUACGGUACAGAGUCAAUGUGGAGGCUAU